rnacentral:misc_RNA from 1 species
GAUGAAGAACGUAGCGAAAUGCGAUAAGUAGUGUGAAUUGCAGAAUUCAGUGAAUCAUCGAAUCUUUGAACGCACAUUGCGCCCCUUGGUAUCCCGAGGGGCAUGCCUGUUCGAGCGUCAUUUCACCACUCAAGCCUGGCUUGGUGUUGGGCGACGUCCUCUUUGGGGACGCGCAUCGAAACGCUCGGCGGCGUGGCACCGGCUUUAAGCGUAGCAGAAUCUUUCGCUUUGGAAGUCGGGGCCCCGUCUGCCGGAAGACCUGCUCGCAAGGUUGACCUCGGAUCAGGCAGGGAUACCCGCUGAACUUAAGCAUAUCAAUAAGCGGAGGA